rnacentral:misc_RNA from 1 species
GAAAUGCGAAAAGUAGUGUGAAUUGCAGAAUUCAGUGAAUCAUCGAAUCUUUGAACGCACAUUGCGCCCUUUGGUAUUCCAAAGGGCAUGCCUGUUCGAGCGUCAUUUGUACCCUCAAGCUUUGCUUGGUGUUGGGCGUCUUGUCUCUAGCUUUGCUGGAGACUCGCCUUAAAGUAAUUGGCAGCCGGCCUACUGGUUUCGGAGCGCAGCACAAGUCGCACUCUCUAUCAGCAAAGGUCUAGCAUCCAUUAAGCCUUUUUUCAACUUUUGACCUCGGAUCAGGUAGGGAUACCCGCUGAACUUAAGA